CCUACGGGUGGCAGCAGUGAGGAAUAUUGGUCAAUGGGCGGAAGCCUGAACCAGCCAAGUCGCGUGAGGGAAUAAGGCCCUACGGGUCGUAAACCUCUUUUGCCGGGGAGCAAGGGCGGGGACGUGUCCCGGCCCGGAGAGUACCCGGAGAAAAAGCAUCGGCUAACUCCGUGCCAGCAGCCGCGGUAAUACGGAGGUGGCAAGCGUUGUCCGGAUUUACUGGGUGUAAAGGGCGUGCAGCCGGAGAGACAAGUCAGAUGUGAAAUCCACGGGCUCAACCCGUGAACUGCAUUUGAAACUGUUAUUCUAGAGUAUGGGAGAGGUAGGUGGAAUUCUUGGUGUAGGGGUAAAAUCCGUAGAGAUCAAGAGGAAUACUCAUUGCGAAGGCGACCUGCUAGAACAUAACUGACGCUGAUGCGCGAAAGCGUGGGGAGCAAACAGGAUUAGAUACCCCAGUAGUC
rnacentral:rRNA from 1 species